UGCCAGCCGCCGCGGUAAUACGGAGGGUGCAAACGUUGUUCGGAAUUACUGGGCGUAAAGCGCGUGUAGGCGGAGCGAUAAGUCGGAUGUGAAAGCCCUCGGCUCAACCGGGGAAGUGCAUCCGAUACUGUCGUUCUAGAGUACCGGAGAGGAAUGGGGAAUUCCCGGUGUAGAGGUGAAAUUCGUAGAUAUCGGGAGGAACACCGGCGGCGAAGGCGCCAUUCUGGACGGAUACUGACGCUGAGACGCGAAAGCGUGGGGAGCAAACAGGAUUAGAUA
rnacentral:rRNA from 1 species